rnacentral:rRNA from 1 species
GCCUUUACGUUUUAGCACGCAGGAUAGUCGAACGGAAUGGAAAGUCCGGCCGUAGCAGGUGAUAGCCCUGUAGACGAAAUUCUGUGUGUGGAACUAAGCGUAAGACAAGUAGGGCGGGACACGUGAAAUCCUGUUUGAAGAUGGGGGGACCAUCCUCCAAGGCUAAAUACUCGUGAUCGACCGAUAGUGAACCAGUACCGUGAGGGAAAGGCGAAAAGAACCCCGGAAGGGGAGUGAAAUAGAUCCUGAAACCGUAUGCAUACAAACAGUAGGAGCCUCCUUGUGGGGUGACUGCGUACCUUUUGUAUAAUGGGUCAGCGACUUACAUUCAGUGGCAAGGUUAACCGAAUAGGGAAGCCGUAGCGAAAGCGAGUCCGAAUAGGGCGAUUUAGUCGCUGGGUGUAGACCCGAAACCAGAUGAUCUAUCCAUGGCCAGGUUGAAGGCACGGUAACACGUGCUGGAGGACCGAACCCACUAAUGUUGAAAAAUUAGGGGAUGAGCUGUGGAUAGGGGUGAAAGGCUAAACAAAUCUGGAAAUAGCUGGUUCUCUCCGAAAACUAUUUAGGUAGUGCCUCAAGUAUUACUGCGGGGGGUAGAGCACUGUUAUAGCUAGGGGGUCAUGGCGACUUACCAAACUAUGGCAAACUCCGAAUACCCGCAAGUACAGCUUGGGAGACAGAGCACCGGGUGCUAACGUCCGGACUCAAGAGGGAAACAACCCAGACCGCCAGCUAAGGUCCCGAAUUAUCGCUAAGUGGGAAACGAAGUGGGAAGGCAUAGACAGUCAGGAGGUUGGCUUAGAAGCAGCCAUCCUUUAAAGA